UAUGCACGUGGUACGUGCAAGCGCGCACGCGUAUCUGUGUACGAAUGUAUGUAUAUGUAGUUAUGCCUCUUUCUUCGGUAUAUACAUAGUUGAAGAUGUUGUCGAGAUAUUGAAUAUAUACUUAGAAUUUCUCUUUCUCUUUCUAUCUUUCUAAUCUUCUAUAUCUUUGAAAAAAGAAAUAGAAGAUUAAAAAUAAAAGAAGAAAAAAACAGAAUGUUUCAUGGACUUCCAAGGUGGCUGCCCGAGGCGUUUAACCAAUUAGCUAACUCCAUGAUACUUUACUCUCGAAACCGCUAACGAAGGAGCCAAGCGAGCAAAGAAAAUCGAACGAAGGAAGUGUAAUCUAACUGUCUUUUUCUCUCUCUAUCUCUUCUUACGUUAAGAAUCAUUUUUUCUUCCUUCCUUCUUUCCAUCCUCCUUUCUUUCUUUCUUAUUCUCUCGUUCGAUUUGAUUCGAUUCGAUUCGAUUCGCUUCAGCCAUUUUCGAUCUUGGAAAGUGUGACACAGAACGGGACCCCGUUUUUACGUUUUUUAUAUCGAUUGAUAACAAUUUUAUCGUUCUUUUUCCAUCGAUUUUUGCAAUAAAAAUUCUAUUCGAACUACCAAUUAUCUUUUUUUUUUUCAAAUAUGAUCAGUCAUUCAUCUUUAUGAUCUUACUGUUUACGUUUAAAAAAUGUUAAAGUCGAAUAAUAAAAUAGUUAUCAAAGAGAGAGAGAGAGGGAAAGAGACAGAGAUAGAGAGACAGAAAGAGAAGAAAAGAGAAAGAUAGAAAGAAAGAGAGGGAGAAGGAGAAAGAGAAUAAGCAAGAUAUAAAUAUAAAAAAAACACACUCACACAAAUGGAAUCUUUUCAAAGAGAAAAAUCGUCCGAACAAGAGCUUCUCUUUACAGUAAAAAUAACAAGUUUUCAGACGCAUAAUUUGAUGUAAUUACUCCAGGAACGAAGCAAGUAGAAAAUUGUAGGAAAGAAAAAAAAAGAGAGAGACUGACAAAGAUAGAAUAUAUAUGUCAAAGGAAACCGAAAAAGGAUUCUCUCUUCUCCCACGUUUACCUACAACCAUAUACGAAGUUCUUUUAAUAUUGAAUUUGCCUAAAGAAACGAAUUAAUUCGAAAUAUUAAUUUACAAGAAUGAUAAUAAUUGCUAAGUAUACUUCUUUUUCCAGCAAAUUGAGUUUAUUAAGAAUAUACCUCAGAUAGAGAUGUACAUAUGAAUGCAACUAUACAACUCACAUUAUUAGGAUUUGUUAAAUAAUUAGCUCAUACAGGCAAUUUGUUGUCAAUGAAACAGAGAAAGGUUAGUACAUAACUUAUAUUGAUAGAAAUUCAGAAAUAUUAAAUGCUCAAGAAAAGAAAGUAAAAAAUAGAAAAUGGAUAGAGAUAAUCAAGAAAAAUUAAUGAAAUUUAUAGAAAAAUAAAUCGAAAAGGAUCAGCAAUAGAUAUCAGUCAAAGAUGAAAAAGAAGAGACAACUAAAAAGCCAUUGAUACGUCUAGAUAGUACUAUGUAUCUUUGGUUUUAGAUAUAAAAUUGAAACCAAAACCUAAACCAGUUCCUGUAAUUGGUCUUUCUAUAUCAAGGCAAAAUGAGAUUUCCAUUGAGUGCAGCUUUUUUACAGAAGAAGUACAAAAAAUCUAAUUAUUUAUUAAAUUGGAAUUAAAAAAAAAAAAAUAGCAAUUAGAGUUUAGAGAAUCGAAGAAGGUUAGCUUAGAGAAAAAUUGGUAGUGAUUGUAAUUAUGAAAAGUCUAGAUGAUAAAUAUUUUAAAGCAAAAGAUAUUCUUAAGUUAGUGGAAGACUCUAGAUUUGUUGCCAAAGUUAAACUUACUAGACCGAAAGAAAUUGAAAGGCACUUGAUAAAAUUAGAUCAAGAAUAUAUAGAGACAGUAAUAUCUAUUAUUGGUAAAGAAAUUUUAAUACUUUAGGAAAAGUACAAAAGAGAAAAAAGAAUAGUGAAAAAGUUACACAGAAAAAUAGAUUAUCGAUGUACAGUUAGAAGAUAAUUUGUUAGAACAUUUCUAUAUGAACAAAUAUGUAAAUAUAUUGAUUAAUCAUUUACUAUGCUAAAAAUGAAAGUGCUUUUUUAUUGAAAGAAUAUUAUCAUUAUUGAUUUGUUUGGAGAUAAACAAAUAUACUAAUUCUAAUGA